UCUCUCCAUUUCUGUUCAAUCGACCCCUCGAUCUUCUCUGAUCAGAACUCUGCACCAGAUUUAUUGGUUCAGUCCAGCUCUAGGUUCAGCCUUGAGGGAUGAAGAUGAAUUGUUGAAUACUCAGUGUCCUCAACAUUUGGAGCUGAGAUGGCAGACAUAAGUUAGUUCUAGUGUAUAUGCUACCCCCUUGAUUGCUGAUAUAAACAGUGACGGAAAGCUCGAUAUAGUUGUUCCCUCAUUUGUUCACUACCUGGAAGUCCUUGAAGGUUCUGAUAGAGAUAAAAUGCCAGGUAUAACUUGUUAUUGGUUAUGUGUGAAAAGCCAGAGUUGGAAUAUGAAUUUUCCUUCUCAUUGCAUUAUGUUAAAUUAGAAGCAUUUAACUCAUUAUUUUCUAGUCUAGUGAGAACUUAGAAGUACAAGAGCAUGAUGAAUUUCAGGUUUUCAUGUUUUUAAAAUCAUUAAUCACUAAG